GCCACGGCGGCUGUCCCCGCCGUGUGAGGUGCCCGGGUCGGGUGUAGCUGACUUAUGUAACUGGUUCCUGGGAAGUGGAACGGACACGGUACGACCCCGAGGCCCUCGGGGAGAUGGGGGGAGGGGAAAGUCUGCCCAUCGCCAGGGGCCUCGUUCUCUCUCCCCGCCCCCGGGCUGCCGCUGUGGGGCUCAGUGUAAAGCUGAACGGCCUCGGCUGGCGCGGAGCCGCUGCCCUGCAUCCGAUCGUGAGCACUUACUGCCCCCUGCAGUCGCCCAGGCCCUGGGGCAGGAAGAGGGCCGGGGAAGGCCGUCUACUGUUCUCGCUGCCAGCCCGUUCUGCUGGCGGCCGAGAACGGGGAUCUGUCCUUAAGAAGGAAGCAAAGCAACAUCUCACUGUGGCCAGUUCUGUGCGAACAGGGAAUGUGGUGCAAGAGGAAUGAAGACUUAAUGGAGACCUCUGCAGGAUCAUCUUCCAGAACAAGUUAAGUCCUGUGCCAAGCCUUCAGCAGUGUAAAGGUUCUGAGACUCUGUACUUAGGAAAAAGUAGAUGAAUUUGGUGUUUCUCAGCAUUUUUAAGAAAUACUUGUUCAGGAAAUUGUAAUCUCUCAAUAUUUUGAGAAAUUGGAACCCAGUCCAGUUUCUGCAUUCUGAAUCAACCUCACCUUCAGCACCCUGGUCGGCUUCUGAAAAAUAUCUCAAAUGUUUUAAAGUAUUUUUCAGCAGAGGAUUUAUUUCAAAGGUUACCACCACAGUUGUCAAAUAGCAGUGACAAAAUGUAGUUUUGAGCUUUUAUUACUUGCGUAUGUGUUUGCAUUUCUCCUUAAUUGCAGCAAAACAGAUGUCACUUUUUUUCAGAAUGGGAGAAAAAACAGAAGGGUCCUAAAUUUUUUCCUACAGUAAUGGUGAUUUGAACAUUAUAUCAUUUUCCUAGCACAUGAAAUGCAGACAGUGAGAUGAUUGAUAAUCCUUUUUUUAUUCAAUAGUUGUGAUUGCAAAAAUGAGUAUAAGCCUCAAAUUAAUAGCAAAGGCUGUCAGUAUCACUGGUUGUAUCCAGUUCAUUUUUAAAACAUCAAAGGGAAAUUUUUCACUUAUUCUGUGUAGACUGAAAAAAAAUCUGUAGAAGGUUAUAAUCUUAUAUACCAUCAAAGACUGGAGGAGGAGCAGAAAAGGAAGGUCUUGUGUAAAUCAGUACAAACAUUGAUAUAUUUAUUUUCUGAUUAAAUACACUUUUCAUUUGGAAGAGCAAUAGUGCACAAAACAAUAAAAGCGAAAUACUGAUGAAGGUAAAGUUGUUU
rnacentral:lncRNA from 14 species